rnacentral:lncRNA from 1 species
ACCACGUUGGCCAGUACAUCUUUCUAAAAAGCUAAAUAAGCCUCUUGCCCAUUUAAUAGCCCAGGAAUGUUUUUGUCCAGGACCUGAGUACCAUUUAUUUGAAAUGUUAAUCAUCAUGGAAGAUAGCACCAGUAUUUCCAAGUUUCUUUGGGAGAGUAGGAGACUACCAUUGGUAGGUACCUUGCUGAUAUGAAGGUGUUACAAUUGUAUUUUUCUUUUAGACAAAGCUAAUUACCUAACACAGAUGGUCACCCCUAUACCAAGUGAAUUUGGGAUGAAAUAUGUUGUGUGGCAAGAGGUGAUAUGGAGUCUUUUCCUUGAAGACUACAUAUUGCUUAUCUUGAUGGUAUGUGUGAAAUGGGCUGUAUCUGCUUGGGGUAAGAUUUUUUGUUUGUUUUUGUCUUUGCAAUCUCUUAGCAGAUUGUCUGUGAUGUGCACCAUCUUCUGGCUUAAACUUCAUUCAACAGUAAAUUGUUUUCCUUUUCUUCUGCCUUGUGAACAGGUCAUCUAGGUUGGGAGAUUUUAUUUCUAGUUAUAUUUCCUCAAGAACCCCAAGCACCCAGUCAAGUUUGAAUAAUGGAUAAAAUAAAUUUUUAUAUAAGUAAUUUUAUAAGUAAUUAUGUAAGUAAUUUUAGAAGUAUACUAGGACAGUAGUAUACUUCUGUCCUAAAUAUUGCACAUAUGGUUUGUUUACACGCAAAAUAGAAUUUAACUGGGUGUCCUGUAUUUGUAUUUGCUAAAUCUGGCAAUGCUACCCCUCCCUGCAGGGGCAUCUAGCAAUGUCUGAAGUCUUUUUCAGUUGUCACAACUGGAAUCUACAGGUGUUUAAAGGGUGGAGACCAGAGAUGCUAUUAAACAUCCUACAGGGCAUUACAAACGAACUGCAGAAAUACAAAGAAUCAUAAGAAUCUACUAUGUAAAAUGAUAUGCCAACAAGUUGGAUAACCCAGAAGAAAAGGACAAAUUCCUAGACAUAUACAGACCCCGUCAGAACAGAAGAGCAAGAGAAACCAAGGAGAAGAGACCAAGAAGAAUGAGAAGAGAUGAAGGAGCUUCAGAUAUAUACCUGUCGUGGUUUGGCUCUGUGUUUCCACCCAAAUCUCAUGUCAGAUUGUAAUCCCCACACGUUGAAGGAGGGGCCUGGUGGGAGGUGAUUGAAUCACGGGAGCAGACUUGUCCCUUGCUUUUCUAGCGAUGGAGUUCUCAGGAGAUCUGGUUGUUUGAAAGUGCGUGGCAC